rnacentral:rRNA from 1 species
AACGAACGCUGGCGGCAGGCCUAACACAUGCAAGUCGAGCGGGGGGGUAACCCCUAGCGGCGGACGGGUGAGUAACGCGUGGGAACGUGCCCUUUGCUUCGGAAUAGCCCCUGGAAACGGGGAGUAAUACCGGAUGUGCCCUACGGGGGAAAGAAUUUCGGCAAAGGAUCGGCCCGCGUUGGAUUAGGUAGUUGGUGGGGUAAUGGCCUACCAAGCCGACGAUCCAUAGCUGGUUUGAGAGGAUGAUCAGCCACACUGGGACUGAGACACGGCCCAGACUCCUACGGGAGGCAGCAGUGGGGAAUCUUAGACAAUGGGCGCAAGCCUGAUCUAGCCAUGCCGCGUGAGCGAUGAAGGCCUUAGGGUUGUAAAGCUCUUUCGUGGGGGGAAGAUAAUGACGGUACCCCAAGAAGAAGCCCCCGGCUAACUCCGUGCCAGCAGCCGCGGUAAU